GUUACCACUUCUCACCAAAUCUCGAUAAUCUGGUCGUAUAAUCGCUGGGGGAACAUUCGUUGGGUAUCAACUUGUCCAAAAGCUUGGCGACAUCGCUCGACGAUGGCGGCUCUGCCGAUCCUCGCCAGCUGAGAGAUGUUAAUAAGGUGAUGAAAAUUCAGGGGCUCAUAUACACCAAACCCAUUCAGAUUUAAAGGCGAAACUUGCAGAAAAUGCAAUAGAAUAGGACUUGUAUAAAGAGCAUGAGCAGGAGGGGAAAUGAAGGAACUACAUGUGGACAAGAAAAAGACAAAAAGAGUACUAAUCUGCAUGCUGUCGAUGAAAAAUCUGAUAAUGAUGAAACUGACACAGGACUGCAUAGCCUUAAGAUUUACAAUUUGAAUAAAAGACAAUAAAAGACAAGCAUUGUCUGUUUGUCCAUGAUUUUGAUAAUUCACAUUAUUUGACAACAAUUUGGAUAAUGGAAUUGAUAGCUUUGCAGCAAAGUUUGCAGAUGAGAUGAAGAUGGGGGGGGGGGAGGUAGUGCUGAGGAAGCAAAGUGAUUGCAGCAGGACUUAGACAAAUCGGAAGAGUGGACAAAAAAGUGGCAGAUGGAAUACAAUUUGGGAAAUGUAUGAUAAUAUAGUUUGGUAGAAGGAACAAUAGUGCGCACUGUUAUCGAAAUGGAGAGAAGGUCCAAACAUCUCAAGUGCAGAGGGACUUGGGAGUCCUUGUACAAGACUCCCAGAAGGUUAAUUUACAGGUUGGGUCUGUGGUAAAUAAAUGCAAUGUUGGCAUUUAUUUCAAGGGGAAUAAAAUAUAAAAGCAAGGAGAUGAUGCUGAGGCUUUAUAAGACACUAGUCAGACCACACUUGGAGUAUUGUCAACAGUUUUGGGCCCUUUAUUUCAGAAAGAAUAUGUUGUCAUUGGAGAGAGUCUGGAGGAAAUCCACAAGAAUGAUUCCAGGAAUGAAAGAAUCAACAUGUGAGGAGCAUUUGGCAGUUUUGGGUCUGUACUCACUGGAAUUUGGAAGAAUGCAGGGGAAUCUCAUUGAAACCUACCGAAUGUUAAAAGAACUAGAUAGGGUGGAUAUGGAGAGGAUGUAGGGCCAUCUAGAACUGGAGAACACAGCCUCAAGAUUUAAGGGUGACCUUUUAGGACAGAGGUAAGGAGGAAUUGUUGUAGGGGGAGAGUAGUGAAUCUGUGGAAUGCUCUGUGGUGGAGGCCAAGUCCGUGGCUAUAUUUAAAGUGGAAGUCAAUAGUUUCUUUAUUAGUCAGGGCAUCAAAAGAUAUGGUGAGAAGACAGGUGUAUGGGGUUGAGUGGGAUCUGGGAUCAGCCAGGAUGGAAUGAUGGAGCAGUCUCAAUGGGCUGAAUUGCCUAAUACUGCUCCUACGUCUUAAGGUCUAAACAACAUAGCUUACAUCAGAAUCGAAUAGCAAAUGAAUUAAAAUGGAAUUGGUCACUGCCAGAGCUUUUUCAGUUAUUCCACAAAAUUAGUUUGAAUGUCAUUUCAAAUAUACUGAACUGAAGCCUGCAGAUAUCCAAAUAAGCACUUAUUUGGAGAAAAGAUAACUCCUGUGGGAAUGACAUUUGCAACAGGAAAAUACAAAAAUAACAAGCCACUUUGAGUUUGUCUGUGGUAAUAACAGGAGGGCUAGCAUUAUGGGGCUGUGAUUGACCGAGACAAUUAUAACUUGAUUUGAGAUCAAUCCUCCAUUUGCAUGCCACAUACCCUGUAAAAGCAAAUUAAGAAAAGUACUGGCUUUAGAAAGCUCAAACGUAUCAAGGGUAAAAUAGUUUUAAAGAAAAAUGCCACAUCCAAGUUUUAAAAAAACCAUCCGAUUCCUUGUACCAUCCAUAAUAAAGAAGCCAGUGAGCUAGUUUGCACAGCAACUGAAGGAAUUCUUCCUAAGGUUGAGUGGAGCCAUGGGCCAUGCCAGUGGUCCCAGUAACCAAGAUCUGGUGGUGAUAAUGGCACCAUCAACCCCAUAUUGCAAGUGGAUCAAUACCCUCUGCCCAGGACAGAGGAUAUCUUUGCAAACCUUUCUGGAGGGAAACACAAUCAAAAUCUAUUUGACUGAGGCCUACUUACAGAUGGAGAUGGAAGAAGAGUCCAAAGUGUUUCCCACCAUAAGUACUCACAAAGGCUUCUUUUUGGAGUAGCAUCUGCACCUGCACUCUGGCAGAAAGCUAUGGACUAGGUGCUGCAAGACUAUCCAGCACUCAGUGUUACUGUGAGAAGGACGUAGAACAUCUCCAAAAUCUCAAGACUAUGUUAAAAAGAUUAGAAAAUUAUGGGCUCAGAGCACAAUGCCACAAGUGUGAAUUCUUUAAACCAAGCAUCACUCAGUAAGUGGAGCUUAGGAGGAUGAUGGUGACAAGUGGCGACUCCUUUGAUUGCAUCUUUGGAAUAGCUCUACUUCUACUAUUAAUAUCUCUAUUUUUCCCUUUCAGGGUUCUUUUCAAGACCCUGACCUGGAGUUACACGCUGACUCGCUGACUUGGGUUUUUGUGGUAAUGGGAUCCGCUCUCAGGGUCUCACGACCGACCGCUAUUCAAUAUAUGAAGGACGCGGCCUAGAAGACUAGCAUGCCUUCAGGGUUCCAGGAAUUUGUGGCUCUAGAGGCAUGCAGACUCAAGGUCGGUGCCUCUGCAGGAAAUCAUGUCAUGGGAGAUGGAAGAUCGAAAGCAGCAAGCUGUCUGCUGGAUCUAUGCCCAGCCACUGGAGAUCUUUGGGCACAGAGCUCACAAAAAGUGACGCAACAGACUUUUAACAUCGUAAAUCAGUGAAUUGUUUGUUAUGUCUCCCCUCUCGCUAUGUAACGAGGACACCUCUUUUUCCCUUAUUAGGGAGAGAGACAGAGCCUGUGGUAUGUCGAAUUACUGGAUAAUUUGAGUAGUCUUUGGGGUACUACACGUCUUUAUUGAUGCUUUGCUGCAUACUUAUGUGCUCGGUGGGGGGCGCCAAUGCUUUUUUGCUGGUGGGGGAGAGGGGAUUAUUGCUUUGCUGCUGCUUAUGUGUGGGAGGGGGAGCUGGGGGGCUCUGGGGUUCUAACAUUUAACUGUCAUUCAUUCUUUGGAGCAUUCCUCUGUUUUUGUGGAUGUUACGAAGAAAAAGAAUUUCAGGAUGUAUAUUGU